rnacentral:rRNA from 1 species
CCUACGUGAGGCAGCAGUGGGGAAUAUUGCACAAUGGGGGAAACCCUGAUGCAGCGACGCCGCGUGAGUGAAUAAUUAUUUCGGUAUGUAAAGCUCUAUCAGCAGGGAAGUAAAUGACGGUACCUGAUUAAGAAGCCCCGGCUAACUACGUGCCAGCAGCCGCGGGAAUACGUAGGGGGCAAGCGUUAUCCGUAUUUACUGGGUGUAAAGGGAGCGUAGACUGCAGCACACGUCUGGAGUGAAAUGCCGGGGCUUAACCCCGGAACUGCUUUGGAAACUGUGCAGCUAGAGUGCAGGAGAGGUAAGUGGAAGUCCUAGUGUAGCGGUGAAAUGCGUAGAUAUUAGGAGGAACGCCAGUGGCGAAGGCGGCUUACUGGACUGUAACUGACGUUGAGGCUCGAAAGCGUGGGGAGCAAACAGGAUUAGAUACCCUUGUAGUC